rnacentral:misc_RNA from 1 species
UCAUGACGUUUCUUGUCUCAUUAAUUUCGAGACUGCGUUGAAAUAUAAAAAGCUGUAUCUUGUUUACUUGGCGGCUUGACCUGUUGUCAUAAGUUUCACUUUCAACGGGGACGCUAGUAGGAAUGAGCUUACCAUAAAUUGUCCGCUGGACACCUUUUGACUUUGACCUCAAAUCAAGCAAGACUACCCGCUGAACUUAA